UACGUAGGGCGCAAGCGUUGUCCGGAAUUAUUGGGCGUAAAGAGCUCGUAGGCGGCUUGUCACGUCGGGUGUGAAAGCCCGGGGCUUAACCCCGGGUCUGCAUUCGAUACGGGCAGGCUAGAGUGUGGUAGGGGAGAUCGGGAUUCCUGGUGUAGCGGUGAAAUGCGCAGAUAUCAGGAGGAACACCGGUGGCGAAGGCGGAUCUCUGGGCCAUUACUGACGCCGAGGAGCGAAAGCGUGGGGAGCGAACAGG
rnacentral:rRNA from 1 species